rnacentral:rRNA from 1 species
UACAGAGGUCCCGAGCGUUGUUCGGAUUCAUUGGGCGUAAAGGGUGCGUAGGCGGUUAGGUAAGUUUGAUGUGAAAUCCUGGGGCUCAACCCUGGAACUGCAUUGAAUACUGCUUGACUAGAGUACUGGAGAGGAAACUGGAAUUUACGGUGUAGCAGUGAAAUGCGUAGAGAUCGUAAGGAAGACCAGUGGCGAAGGCGAGUUUCUGGACAGUUACUGACGCUGAGGCACGAAGGCUAGGGGAGCAAACGGG